rnacentral:rRNA from 1 species
GACGAACGCUGGCGGCGUGCUUAACACAUGCAAGUCGAACGGCAAGGCCCUGCUUUUGUGGGGUGCUCGAGUGGCGAACGGGUGAGUAACACGUGAGUAACCUGCCCUUGACUUUGGGAUAACUUCAGGAAACUGGGGCUACUACCGGCUAGGUGCUCCUGCUGCAUGGUGGGGGUUGGACCGUUUCGGCGGUUGGGGAUGGACUCGCGGCUUAUCAGCUUGUUGGUGGGGUAGUGGCUUACCAAGGCUUUGACGGGUAGCCGGCCUGAGAGGGUGACCGGCGACAUUGGGACUGAGGGACGGCCCAGACGCCUACGGGAGGCAGCAGUGGGGAAUAUUGCACAAUGGGCGGAAGCCUGAUGCAGCAGCGCCGCGUGCGUGAAGACGGCCUGCGCGGGGUAAACCGCUUUCGCCUGAGACGAAGCGGGAGUGACGGUAAUGGGUAAAGAAGCACCGGCUAACUACGUG